rnacentral:rRNA from 1 species
CAGUAGCCGCGGUAAUACAGAGGUCCCGAGCGUUGUUCAGAUUCACUGGGCGUAAAGGGUGUGUAGGAGGUUUGGUAAGUCAGGUGUGAAAUCCCACAGCUCAACUGUGGAACUGCAUUCGAUACUGCCGAACUAGAGGCUUGGAGGGGGAAGCGGAAUUCUUGGUGUAGCGGUGAAAUGCGUAGAUAUCAAGAGGAACACCGGUGGCGAAGGCGGCUUCCUGGACAAGUCCUGACUCUGAAACACGAAAGCCUGGGGAGCGAAUGGGAUUAGAUACCCGCGUAGUCCCUGUCUUUUAUAA